ACACGGCACAAGAUGGCCGGAGAGGCAGCAGCAAGCUCAGCUGUCAGGCGGCCUGCCGCGGCCCGUGGGCUCGCCGCUGCGCUGGGAGCGCUACCCCGGCGUCCUGGAGGGCUCUGGGAGAGCGGGGAGGCCGCGGCUGGGGCGAGGCGGCCGCGCGCGAAUGUGGGAGCUCGCGGCCGGAGCGCCCGGGGAGGCCGGGCCCACGACGCCCGUGGCUCCGCUGCGGCAGCGGCGGUGCUGGUGGCGCGCGCGGCCGGGAGGCGGCUUCGCGCCGUGGGCGGGAGGCUGCGGCGGGCGACCGGUCCUGGACACGCGAGGAAGAGCGAGCCGAUGGCGCCAGCGGCCGCGCUUCGACCCGGUAACUUACAAGAUGAUAAUUAAUGUGGUUGCCGAUGAUUCUGAAUAAAUACAGCUUUUAUCUCAGGUGUGCCAUUUUGAAGACUGAGACCAUAGAGUUUUAAGAAUAAAGGAGAGAGCCCUUGGGAAAUUCUGUAUUAUAUAUAGCAAAAAUGUGAAUCCUCAGAUGGAAUGAAAGGCCUGUACCAUAGACAUCUAAGCAUUUACACCCCGCUUGAAGAGUUUGAAAUGGACUUUACCACUGAGAAAUCAAGAUGGCAGCCCAUUAUGGGGAAUUGAGGAAAAUGGAUUAAUGCAAGAAUGCUGUAAUAUUAUACAACCAACACAGGAUUCUUUUAAUGUGGAUUCCAUGAAAUGAAUGAUUCUUACCCAACACAAAUGGACAGUGGACUUUACUUCCUAAAGACUUGUUACAUGUCAUGUACAUUUUUGACAUCUGGAGAAGACUACAAUUCUACAAAUGGUAGUUUGUAUUCCUGGAAUUUCUUGCAGUUUGAUCUGAAGUGACCUUAUGGAAUGUUAACUUUAAUAAAAUCUCUAAAACUUAAAAAUUUUUGGGCCUUUUAUAAAUUUUUUCAGUGGACGUUUUCAUUAAAUGUUCAUUUUACCUUGAUAACAUUUUGACCUUCAUAGUUGCUUUUCAUUGAAGUAUACUAAAUAAAGCUGGUAAAAUGGAAUGGUUUUGUUUGUUUGGGAUUUAUGUGUAUUAGAAAACCUGGAUUUUUCCUGUGAUUAAGUGGAAUGGUCCUUUGGUUAAAAUAGAUAUAUUCUCUCUUCCCCUUCCCCCUUUCUUCUUUUUUUUUUUUUUUUUUUUUAUUUUUUUUUUUUUUUUUUUUUUUUUUUUAUUUUUAUUUUUUCAGGACAGGGUUUCUCUGUGUAUCCUUGGCUGUCCUGCAACUCUUUGUCUGUAGACCAGCCAGGCUUGGAAUUUGCAGUGAUCUUCCUGCCUCUGCCUCCUGAGUGCUGGGAUUAAAGCUAUACACACCCAGUUUGGCAGGCUUUUUAUUAUAGGGUUUAAAUAAAUUCCUUUGAGUUUGGGUUAUUUCAAAAUAUCUUGCAUUGUAAUCAUUGGGUAAUGGUAACUUUGAAUGUGUCAGGAGAUUAUAGUGAAUAUAUAAUAUAAAACAAAGUACUGGUCUCAUUUCCUGUAUAGUCCAAGACAGUCUCAGUGUCUUUCAGUUUUUGUUGAUGAAAGUCGUCCUUUGCCAUGUGAAAUGCUCAUCUGAAUAUUUGAGUUAUACUAACUUGUAUUGUAUUGUCUUAUAUUAGAGGUGUAUUUUUAAAGUCUUUGGGUAUACAUUAAAGGGCUUACUUAAUAUGAAAGUAGUAUAAUUUAUUUACAUUUGAAAAAAAUCCUGUUUUUCUUGUUUUGUGCAGUUGGGAGUUUAAAUGAAUCAUACCAUGCUUUAGAUUGGUUACCCAUGGUUAAAAUCAAAUGCCAGGUUUUCAUUGAUUGCUACUUUGGUAAUAAAUAUGAUAAAGCAGUGAUGGGGGCUUUGUUGACCAAAUGACGAUUGAUGGUGUUUUUCUCAGUAUAGAGAACAAAGAAUGAAAUAAUCUGUUAUUAAUGUAAACUACCUUAGAAUCCACCUCUGUGGUUGAUACAGAUGCAGUGUUUGUUCUUUGGAUGAUGUGAGGUGGUUGAUAUUUGUAAAUUGAAAACUUGAGAUUUUGGAUUUGGAUUUUGAUGGAAAUAUGUUUGAAGACUUGAAACUGGAUUAUGGAUUUUACAUUUUCUUGGAUUUAACAUAAUUACGUUUGGUAGUGAAACUAAAAUGAAUUACUUGGUUGAUGGAGUGUCCUGGUUUUGACCAAUAGGGUACAGUACAGGACUGUUUUAGUUUUUGGACGUGUGGAUGUGCUUGGUUACUUGUCUGCAUGGGAGAGAGAGAACACUUUGUUGCAUUUGUAAUUUUGUUUCUAUAGACCUCGUGCUCCCAUCUGGAGGGGGUUUGUCUUUGACAGUUGAUAAUUGGCUGGUAGAUUCGGCCUAUUUAAGUGAAGGACUAGUGAUUGAGGAAAUGUGAGUGUACUUAGAAUUCGAUUUCAAACAUGAGUGAAAGGGUUCUUUUGGUUUUGGAGUUGAGGUUGAGUGUUUGAUUUAAAGGUGACCAAGGUUGGUGUAAAUUCUUGAAUUCGAAGUUAUUAAUUCUGCCCAAAUAUAUGUAAGAAGUAAAUAUGUUUGAUGUGUGGCAUUUCCAAGAUUAAUGGUUUACAAAGAAGUUUGUUUCUUCUGGGGGAAAAUGGUUGUAUUAACUUUUGCUCUACUGCAGUUGAACACUAGGGAGGCGCUCUUGAGUUGUAAAAAAUUACCCCUUCCUUCCAGUUGAGAUGGAAAAUUCCCCCUUAAUCUUUAGAUGUUUUUAGGCACCAUAAAGAAGGCAAGAGUUGAUUUAAUUUAUGGUGUUGCAAUGUUGCGUCUAUCUACAAGCCAUUUACCCAUGCUGGGGUGUUAAUUUUUUUAAAGAUUAGUACUUAAACUGAGCUUUAGAGCCUCUAGAAAUUAUCUUUAUUUCAAAAUGGCUUGAUAAAACUCCACUUCCUGUCCAGGGAGGAAGUUAUUUUAGCUCAAGGACUGAAAUAUUUAGCAGAUCUUUAGACAAAAGGAACAAAUUACAUUUCUCUCUGGCUUAAAAAGGGUGCUUGAGCCAGAGGGGGUUAAGAAGCCCUUCCCCCUCCUCCUGAUGGAGUGGUCUGGAGGGGCAGGGAGGUGUGGAGUUGGGGGUCUUAAGGCUCUCUUGGAUGGAGAAUCUGGUUCUUUUUCUUUCUUUUUUUUUUUUUUUUUGGUGGAGAUGAAGGGGUGGGUCUAUGGUACAUCACCUGAGUUGUGGGGUAAAUGUAGAGAGUGUCAAUCAAAGGCAGAGCUCUCAGAGCUGGGAAGGAGGCUCUAGAUGGCGGCUGUGCCUUAGAGAGAGCGCGCUUUGCUCCCUGCUUCGGUUCACUUUACGCAACUUUCCCUAACUUUCGGGCAGCCUCAGGGGGCCCCCGCAGCCCCCUGCCUCUUCUAGUGACUUACUGGGGUCGAUGCGAACCUUUUUUUGGGAGAAUAGCUGCUUUUAGGAGCUUUCUUUUCGUGCCUUGUUGGAAGAAGCUGCCGUAUUGAGAGCCCAGGUCGUUGUUUUUUCCAGCUUAGAAGCCAUGGCGCACCUCCAUUUUUGUGCGCUCUCCUAAUGAGGUUUUUUUUUCCCCUUCCGGACCUGUUUUAGUAUUAAUUAUUGCUUUAUUUUUUGACAAGUCAACAUAUUUGAGGAUUAUUUCAUUUACUUUUUGUUUUUUAACGGAGAAUUUUGCGUUUUUAAAAAUUAUUUUGGAUCGGAUAUUUUUCUACUACUAGAUAGGACUCUUGCUUUGGACCUACUACAUGGAUCAGGUAAGUCCAUGAUAAUCAGUGAUAAUUUUUAAAAAAUUAAUGUUGAACUUGGCUUUAUUUACUGUAAAUAUGAGAAAUUCCUGGAUGACGCAAUAAGAUAGAGAGAUUGUUAUUUGUAUCCAGUGUGUUACUUUUGAGAAACUUUCCUUAUUGAUAGCGAUGCUUCUGUCGUUCAGUUUAUCCCCCACUCAUUUUAAAACGGAAAAAUAGAAAUAUUUUGUUUUUCUGGUGUUUAUCGUUGUUGCAUUACAUGAAUAUCGCUAACAUCGUCAGGACUUUGUUCCUGAUAAUAAAACCAUCCGCAGAAGCUGGGACCUCACCUUUCUUUCAACUUUUGACAGUAAAUACCUGGGCACAGGACUUCAAAGCAAACACAGAUUCCCCCUCCCCCUUAAUAUUUAAGAAUUAAAAGAUGAUGAGAAAUAAGGACAAAAGCCAAGAGGAGGACAGUUCGCUACACAGCAAUGCAUCGAGGUAUGAGCUAUCAACUUUCUUUCUUUCUUUCUUUUUUUUUUUUCUUUCGGGAAACCUCAGCUUACACUUGUUUACUUUGACAGACAUGGAUUGCUGUCUGUAUUUCAAGAAUUUUCUAACUUAGGUUGGUUUUUAAAGCGUGACCUUGAGAUUGCUAACAUGCCACACCCUGAUUUUUUUGGUAUCAAUUUAUGAAAGUUGAGUUGUGACUUAAGGCCUCUUACAGCAUUCAGAAGGUAAGGUACUUUUCUCCGGAGGGGCCUUUCCUAGAAACUGUAGUUUUUCUGUCAGUAAAUUUUCAGGUUUUAGGUUUUCAUGCUGCAGAAAAAUGACCUUGUCUGUUUAGCCAUUGCUGCAUUGCACCAUUUUACAUACAAGGCAAAUUUUUUUCUUUGAAGAAUCUGGGAUAUUCAAACUUGUAACCGAGGGCCAUAGAGCAGCCUGGUAGUAGUAAAUUAUAGUAAAUAGACAUUUGAGAAAGUUAUAUGAAUGAAAAAAUGUACAUUUAAAAACGCAAUCACAAAUAGGACCCCUUGACUGAUGCCUUUCAGUUUAUAUUUUUGAUUGUUUCGUUUGAUACACGUGACAAUUAAAAUUUUUUUUAUGACUUAUCAAAACCUUAAUAAAUAGUUCCUGAGAUCAUUAAAUCUGUAACCACAAAAAUCUUGGAAUGCUAUUAAUACUUAAGCUUUGUGUUUGUUACUAUGACAAUGUAAUUGUAUUUUUUUAUGCUUAAAAUGUCACAAGGUUUAUGUUGGUGUGUUAAGACAGUCCUUUCUGGUUGACAAUUGUAUUUUAUUUUACCCUUAUGUUUUAGUUGGUGCUGUUUUAAAUGUAUCCAUUUAUUUUGACAGUGUCCUGUAAUGCUUUCUCUUCUGAAGCUUUUUAAUGUGCUGUUUGUUUAAAUCAUGAUUUCUCUUUCAUUCUUUGAAGUAGCUUAUCAGUGGCUGAAGUAAUAAAGCAUAUAAGAUAUUUUUUGUUGUAUGACUGUAUCUUUACGUUAAUUUAAAAAUGUGAAUGCAUUUCUGGAUGUGUUCUUUAGAAUUGUCAUGUCAUAGUUUUAAAAUCAUGCAGCUAACAAGAAUGAUUGGUAUAUGAUCCAAUUUUGAUUUUACUUUAUAAUUUUGCAUAAAAUUUUUUUAAAAUUAGCUUUUAAAUUUUGAAGUGUGGAAUAUAGUUUAUGACAAAUUGAUGAAUUUACUCUUUACUAAAAAUAUUUUGAGCCUUGCUUUAAAAAAUACAUUUCCAAAUUUCUAUACAAAUUGAGUAGUUACAAUUUUGGAUAUCUUUUAAGUUGCUUUUGUAAUUAUUGGGUCAAGAACAGAAAGCUUCUAAUGCAAAACUAAUUUUCUGGAAAGUCACAUUUUGAAGGUAUAGUAUAUAGGAAGCUUCAGAUAUAUUUGACAGUUAUGAAAGACCCAGUAUUAAACUUGUUACUCCCUUGAGUAUAUGAUUUGCAUAUUCUCACCAGGGUUUUGGCUUUCUUAUGCAAGGUUUUUUGUUUCAUGAUCAGACUGCUCUAACUCUUAAGUGAUGUCUUUGAAUAAACUUUACCCAGAAUUAUCUGGGUAAUAA
ensembl:processed_transcript Chaserr RIKEN cDNA 1810026B05 gene